AAUUGUAAUUUCUGUUUUGUAGUUGUGUUGGUAAAUUUCUAUUGGUUCUUUGAUGAUAACUUGAAUAUAUAUCUGAGUGAGGCGGCUAUCAAGAAGGAAAGACAUGAGGCACGGCGCGCUAAAAAGGAAUUGAAGGGACUUUACUGGGGUGAAGCGCAGCAUGCUUAGAGAGUAGAUUCUUAAUGAGUUUUUGUCAAGUGGUUUUGUUGUGAUGCUUUUUCAUUAUGAUGGUAACGUUGAUGAGGGGAAGCAAUUUUAAUGGAAUGAUCUUGUCAUUUAUGUGUCUGCAGUCAAUCAAACAAAAUGGUGGUUCGCAAAGCGUUUCUUACAUCCUGAUAUAGUUUAUCAAUAUAGUCGCAUUCUUCUACAGGAUGAGGACCUUGGAGUUGACAAUUUCAAUCCUCAACGGUAUGUGUCCAUUGUUCGAAAGGAAUGGCUUGAAAUAUCACAACCGGCACUUGAUUUUUCCAAGACAGAGGUGAACUAUAUGGAGAAACUUUCAAAAGAGGAGGGGAUUCAGAAGAAACUCAGCAAGGAUAUUUUGCAAUAUAAAGCUCAUAUAAUCAAGAUAUUUGCGGAACAUAGGUACAAUUGGAUCUCUGCAGAUUUAGAGUUUUAGAAAUUUGCCUAGGACUUAGGAUGCAAGUCACUGGUGAAUUGUAAACUCCAGUUUAUUAAAUAAAUUAGCUUUUUGUAUAUUUUUAUGAUGUCACUGUUAUGUUUAGUUUUCCUUAAUAAAACAUUACUUUUAUAG